GACGAACGCUGGCGGCGUGCUUAACACAUGCAAGUCGAACGGUAAGGCCCUUCGGGGUACACGAGUGGCGAACGGGUGAGUAACACGUGGGUGAUCUGCCCUGCACUUCGGGAUAAGCCUGGGAAACUGGGUCUAAUACCGGAUAGGACUCCGGACUGCAUGGGCUGGGGUGGAAAGCUUUUGCGGUGUGGGAUGGGCCCGCGGCCUAUCAGCUUGUUGGUGGGGUGAUGGCCUACCAAGGCGACGACGGGUAGCCGGCCUGAGAGGGUGACCGGCCACACUGGGACUGAGAUACGGCCCAGACUCCUACGGGAGGCAGCAGUGGGGAAUAUUGCACAAUGGGCGCAAGCCUGAUGCAGCGACGUCGCGUGAGGGAUGACGGCCUUCGGGUUGUAAACCUCUUUCAGCAUCGACGAAGCGAAAGUGACGGUAGGUGCAGAAGAAGGACCGGCCAACUACGUGCCAGCAGCCGCGGUAA
rnacentral:rRNA from 1 species